rnacentral:rRNA from 1 species
CAAUAGCGUAUAUUAAAGUUGUUGCAGUUAAAAAGCUCGUAGUUGGAUUUCGGGGCAGCCUGGCUGGUCCGCCGCAAGGCGAGUACUGGUCAGCCGCCCUUCCUCUCGAAAGCCCCGACUGCUCUUUAUUGCAGUGGUCGGGUAGUUCGGGACGUUUACUUUGAAAAAAUUAGAGCGUUCAAGGCAGGCCUACGCCUGAAUACAUUAGCAUGGAAUAAUGGAAGAGGACCUCGGUCCUAUUUUGUUGGUUUCCAGGACCGAAGUAAUGAUUAAGAGGGACAGUUGGGGGCAUUCGUAUUUAAUUGUCAGAGGUGAAAUUCUCGGAUUUAUGAAAGACGAACAACUGCGAAAGCAUUUGCCAAGGAUGUUUUCAUUAA